rnacentral:rRNA from 1 species
UACGUAGGGGGCAAGCGUUGUCCGGAAUCAUUGGGCGUAAAGAGCGUGUAGGCGGCCCGAUAAGUCCGCCGUGAAAGUCCAGGGCUCAACCCUGGAAUGCCGGUGGAAACUGUCGGGCUGGAGUCCGGAAGAGGCGAGUGGAAUUCCUGGUGUAGCGGUGAAAUGCGCAGAUAUCAGGAGGAACACCAAUGGCGAAGGCAGCGCGCUGGGACGGUACUGACGCUGAGACGCGAAAGCGUGGGGAGCGAACAGG